GAUACUCUCUCUCUUUCUUUGAACUUAGGCUUGAUUUGCUCUCGGAUAUGGAAUUCCUCUCGAACUCAGACUGGCAGGGCAUGAUAUGGUGAGUGCGUGGGAUGUCCGAGAGCAACAAGAAACGUAUGGAAUUGGAUUAUGUUUUGCCUGUGGGGUUGAAUCCGAGUUGGAGGUCGAAUCUGAGCGUAGCUGGUUAGACACCCUUGGCUAUAGCACACAAUGCCCUAAUUGCAACCGACGUAAUUGAAAUAGACGAAUUAUUGGCGGUGCAAAACAACAACACUUUCAAAGAUAGGGCAAACCGAGAGAAAUCCAAAGCAAGGACUAGACGCUAAACACUAGAACAUGAUGACUAGACCAGCAACAAAGACACUGACAAUGGACUCAAAUUCAACAUCGCAAAACCGAAAACAAAAAUUGCAACAUGCAUAGUGGUGAAGAACACAAUCUUUUCGUGGGCCAAUUUCUUAGACUCUAGGUGAUGGAACAUAGCUAUACAAAUGGGAAAAACGAGAUUACCUAACAAGUAACCAAAGCUCUGAUGCCACUUGAUGGAAGUAUGGACCUAUCUUCCAAAAGGUGUCAAGAUACAUCGAUCUGUGAAGCUUUGAUGUUAAUGAUCUAAAGGCUCCAAUCAGAACAAAUCGAAACCCUCACAAUCGCUACACCACUACUCUGUGGUUAUCAACCGCACUAAACGCUGUUGAUCUCACCAAGAAAGCUUAUCCCUGCAUGCGAAUCGAGAACACAAGCUAGAGAAUGAAAGAUGCAAUAUGAAAUUCUAUUGUGAAUAUAGAUGAAGUUCAUAAAGUUGGGUUGCUCAAACCGAAUAAGCGGCAAAACUGCAAAGUGGCAAAAUAAUCUAAGAAAAAUCCCAGUCUAAACAAUAGCAGCUACUGAAUAUAUGAGGUAGAGGACGUGAGGAUAUGGUCCUAGUGUGGACGUGGAGAUAGGCGCACACAACUUGGGCUUGGAUCCCAACAUGCUUACAAGGCCCGAUACAAUCCAAAACGGUGACACAACAUAUUAUUUCGUUGAUUCUAAUUGUUUUCCAAGGAAUCUUGGGGUGGGAUCAAAUCCGUUUGAAAGGUCUCGUCGUAAGCUUUUCAGCAAGUACAAGAACUCAUCCAUUGGACUCUGUAUGAGAGAAAUAUGUCUGUUUUUAGUGAAGUGGUGUCCGAAGACUCCGAACCGAACUUAGAGUCCGAAUUUAGAGCAACUUGGAGUUCGUUUUGGCUUCGCCUUCGAGGGGUGACAUCCAAGUGAAGUUGUGCUUCUCUCAUAUUCCUAAGUAAUAAAACAUCACAAGAAUUGAGUAGCAUCCUAUUCUUUACCAAGGUAGUAUGAACAAUGAGGAACGAAUUCACCUUGUAGUUUAAUUGUCGUGCAUAUGCUCCUAUUCAUCAUUGUCUCUCCGUCGGCUCUCUUUACUCGCCGGUUUGCUUCCCUCUCGACCACCCCGUCAGCCGCUCUCUCUACUCGCCGGUCGGCUCACCCACUCUCUCGCUCAAUUCAACUGCCUUACCUCCUGCCACUUGCCGUUGCUGCUCGGUUUGACUGCUCCAUUUCGCCAUGGCUAUCGUUCCCGGAGUCAGGCUCGCACCAGAUCUCGUUGGGUGCGUCGUCUGCUACUGGCGUCCUCCCUUGUCACACGUCUGACCCUCUGCCUGGCCUGAUCCGCCUCCACCCUAGUUGAAUCCACUACGCCGCUCUCCCAUCCGCCUCCGGCGCUGCCAGCCAACCUCCAGCGUUGUUCGCCCGUCUCUCCUGUGGAAGUUGCUGGCUUUGAUUCGACACCUCGGGUUCGUGUUUGAGUUAGGAUAUGACCAAGCAGAUUCCAUAAAAAAAUUGCAGCUACUGCCGCUCUUCUUUGCGCUCUUGCCGUUGCUUGCCGCUACUCCUUUGCACUCUUGCCGUUGCUACUUCUUUAGGAUGUCGUUGGGCACCAUUUCCGUUCCUAGGUGCUUAGUGAUUUUUCUAUGGUGUCUAGUAUCAAGAUUUUGCGCAUCAUAUGCGCAUUCACAUGUGUGGGCUUCGUCUUUGGGGUGUUACCUCUGGCGACAUUCCUUGUUCGCCUUCACCUGUUCUUCUGACGGAACCUGUGAAGCCUUCCGCCAACAAAGUAGACAAAACAUUUACUGAGGCCGUCACCGCUGCCUAUGAUAAGGCUCUCAGCCUAACCAGGAUGCCUUGGAACUGUUUCGAGAUAAGUUGUCUGAUUAUGCUCAGUGGAUGGAUGGUGAUGCUUGUGCAGUGUCCAUUCUUGUUGCUAGUGUCGAGCCCCGGUUCUCCUAAGAUUGUUGAGUUCUCUGUUGUUUUUCAAAUGUGGACUCAUCUUUGUCAAAACUAUGAGCUUUUUGGGAUGCUCUCUACCUGUCUGGUGUUCGCCAAAAGCAGUCUUAUCAGCAGGUUGAUGCCACUGUUGAUGUGUUCUACGUUCAGAUGUCAGCAGUAUGGUAUUAGCUGGAUUGUCUUUGCGUUAGCCGCUCCUGUAAGUGUUGUUUGGAUUUGCAUGCUAAAAAGGAUUUUCAUCGUCUCUACGAGUUCCUGACUCGUCUUCGUCCUAGGUUUGAGCAGCGUCGUUCUUAGCUACUCGCAUGUCACCCUCGUGUCACUUGUGGAGGCCGUUACGAAGAUGCGUUCGAAGGAGACUCAUAUUCGUGGUUCUAGACUGCUGCUACUUCCUUCAAUGCUUGCUGCUUGUCCACCUGCUGCACCUAUGUCUUCGCCUACACCGCCGUCUGCUCCUUGUGCCACUCCUUCGCCUUCUACGGCCUCAUGCGGUAGUGGUCGCCCUCGCUACACCUACUGUAGCAAAGAGGCCAUGUUGAGGCAAACUGCUACCAGAAGAAACAUCUUCGACGACCCUCUGGUGCUUCGACCCCGACUACAUCGACUACCUCUUCGACUGAUACUUACCAAGAGAUUGUGACACUGCUUCGACGUCUGGUUGCUAGCUCUGCCUCCUCACCGAUAGGUUCUGCUACUCCCUCUUCUGGCACUGAGAGACCACCUUCUGCAUAGUCAGUUACAGUGGAUGGAAUUUCUCUUUCGAUUGCUGUUAACUGAUCGUCGCACGAGGGCUCUGGUUGGUACUAGUCCUUGGCGUUGUGAUUCUCAACGUCUGUGGGAGCUUGAUUGGCGUCAUCUUCCUUCUGCUACCGUUAGUCUUUCUGCUUCCUUAACUACUAGCUCAUUCUAGCAGUGGCAUCAUUGUCUUUGCCAUGUCUGUGGGUCAUGUCUAUAUUCAUUAGUUCAUCGAGGUCUUUUAUGGUCUGUCUCAGGAAAUGUCUUUAGAUUGUCGGGGUGGUAAGCUUGGUGAACAAAUUUAGCUUCCUUAUCCUCAUAGUGAGCGUCUCAACAUCCUUUUGAUCUUGUUUACUCUAAUGUUUUGGGUCCUGCUCCCGUCGUUUUGAAAUUGGGUUACAACUAGGAUUUACUGUCUUCUCGUAGCGAGGUAUUAUCUAAUAUAUAAGCGCUUUAAGGCAAUGAUUCACACUCAAUGUGACUCCCAUUCACGUUUUUCGAGCUCAUUUUGCUAGUGAAUUUCUUUCUAGGCACCUUCGUACUUUUCUUGCUGAAUAGGGUAUGUUGUCUCAAUUAUCCUGCCUAGUGCUCAUACUCAGAAUAACGUUGCUGAACACAAGCAUCAUCUUCUUGAGAUAGCUCGCACGCUUAUGAUUGUUUCUGCUGUUCCACUCAUUUUUGGGCUAAGACAGUCUCCACUACCACUUGGUAAUAUCCAUCCCUCUUCUGCUCUCAAGGAUGCGUGUCUUCCUGGUUGCUCUUGUCUUCGCCGUUUUUGUUGUGUUUAUUAUGUUCUUCUUGCCUCUUAUGAGCAUACCAAACUGACUGCCCAAUCUGUCAAUGUCUUCCUAAGCUACAAUAUUGAGGAUAAGGGUUGUUGGUAUUGGGAUCCUGUUGCUCGUCAAAUACGUAUUUCUUGGGAUGUUACUUUUGAUAAGUCUCGGCCCUUCUAUCCUUGUACCUCCCCUUCCACUUCAUCUUGGUUAAACCAUUGUCUUUUCUCACUUUUCCUUUCUCACCCAUCACCAUUUCGUCUUCUUUUCCCCAACAACCUAUGGCGUCUCUUUCUGUUGCGCCUUCUUCGGUGCCUACCUUGCCCUUGACUCCCAUCCCACCAAAUCAUCCUCCUUCUGGCAUCGUUGCGCCUUUUCCUUUCUACUAUACUCGUUGUUCUCAUAUUGUCUCACAUCCUAUUAUGCCACCUUUUGAUGAGUUGUCUCCUUCUGGUGAUUCAACUUCUGUCUUCUCUCGCUACUCUCUUCAUGAUCGUCAAUCGAUUUGGCCUCUUUAUUGAUUUGGUUUUGCUGGUGUUGUUUAUACUGAGUUGUCUUCUUACCGUGAUGCUCUUGUUCAUCAAUAAUGUAGCAAGCCAUGGUAGAGGAGUUGGCUGCUCUUGAGUGUACUUGCACAUAGGAUCUUGUUUUACUUCCCCCACAUUUUCGUCCUAUCACAUGUAAGUAGGUUUAUAAGGUUAAGACCUGUUCUUAUGGUUCUCUUGAGCGCCACAACGCUCUUGUUGCCUAUGGGUUUCAGCAGGAGCAUGAUCGUGACUAUGACAAGACUUUUGCACUUAUAGCCCAUAUGACCAUAGUUCGCACUCUUCUGGUUGUGGCCUAUGUGCAUCAGUGGUCUAUCUCAACUUGAUGUCAAGAAUGACUUUCUUAAUGGUGAGCUGCAUAAGGAGGUGUACAUGCACCCACCACCAGGGUAUUCUAUACCCGAGGGCAUAGUUUGUUGUCUCUGUUGCUCUCUUUAUAGCCUUAAGCAAGUCCCUCAUGCCUGGUUUGAGUGUUUCUCUUUCGUGAUUAUUGUUGCAGGUCUUUCUUCUAUGCUCAUGAUCCUACUCUCUUUGUCCACUCUUCAUCUCAUGAUCGAACUCUUCUUCUCUUGUAUGUUGAUGAUAUGAUCAUUACAGGAGAUUAUUCUGAUUAUAUUACCUCUGUGAAGGCUCGUCUCAAUGAGCUGUUUCUUAUGUUCGAUCUGGGUCCUCUUCAUUAUUUUCUUGGGAUUGAAAUUUUUCUACACUUGAGGCUUUCUUUCUGUCCCAAGAGAAGUAUAUUCAGUAUCUUCGUGAUCGUGCUUUUCUCAUUGAUGAGCGCACUGUUGACACUCAUAUGGAGCUUAAUCUUCAUCUUCAGUUCACUGAUGGUGAGCCUCUUGCGGAUCCCGCAUGCUAGUAUCAUCUUGUUGGGAGUCUUGUUUACCUUGGUGUCACAUAUCCUGACAUUUCUCAUAUAGUGCACAUUCUCAGCCAGCUCGUCUCUGCUCCCACUCAGCUCUAAUAUAGUCAUCUUCUUCGAGUUUUGCGUUAUCUUCGUGGGACUAUCUCUCAUCGUCUUCUCUUUUCAUAUUCCAGCUCUUUACAACUUUGUGCAUAUUCUGAUGCUACUUGGGCAAGUGAUCCAUCUAAUCGUUAGUCUCUUUCUGCCUACUAUGUUUUCCUUGUUGAUUCUUUCAUUGCUUGGAAGACUAAAAAGCAGAUCGUAGAUUCUCGUUCCAGUGGAGGUUGAGUUGUGAGCAAUGGCUUUGUUGACGGCGGAGCUCAAAUGGUUACGGUGGUUACUUGAGGAUUUUGGUGUUUCAUUUUCUGCACCUACUCUUUUAUCUACCAGUACAUAUACUAUCAGUAUUGCUCGAGAUCCAGUGAAGCAUGAGCUUACCAAGCAUAUUGGUGUUGAUGCUUCUUACAUAUGGACACAUGUACAGGAUGGGGUAUUGAUAUUCUGUAUGUUUCUUCAAAGCUUCAGUUGGCUAAUUUCUUCACGAAGGCACAGAGUACAGCUCAGCACAGAUUCUAUCUCUCCAAAGUCAGUGUGGUUGGUCCUCCAUGAGUGGGGCGGGGGGUGCUAGAUACAUAUUGUGAUAUAUUGUGCCAAUGUAAUAUCUUCAUGCUAUAAGGAUCUCUGCAUGUUACUCGUAAUACUCGCCCAAUAGAAUACAAGUUGUUAUUCCUAACAGUAUGAAGCACAAGUUGAUUGCUCGAUGAACGCUAUCUUUUUCAUUUAACUUCGGAACACAUAAGAUUGAAAUUUUUAGGAUCAUAUAAUAGAUGUGAGACCACUUUCAUUGUUAUCAUCAUCUUGCUCAAAUUUGUUCCUCUGCUAGAGCAUUGGAUGGAUCAUAUAAAAAUACUUUUUUUUACACUAGAUUUGCAUGUGCUAGUAUGAAACCAUCCAAUUUUUUGAAAAGUACAGAGUGAAUUUCAUGCAACUUUCCAUAGAACAUUUUUCAACUUGAAAACUGUUUAUGGUUGCAUGGAAGAAUUUUUUUCCUCUCCCAAUUUUGUCAUGUUUGUGAGUUCUUAUUGCUAGAA